rnacentral:siRNA from 1 species
AAGCGAAAGGCCGCGAGUUC